rnacentral:lncRNA from 1 species
CCUUCUCCGCCUGUGGGCUGUUUCUUUGCUCCUUCUCCUUCUCUGCUUUGGCCGGCGAGAGUGUGAGUUGGUUGUUUCGGUUCAGCGGGUGUUAUCCGGCGAUGGCUUACUCCUGGAGGUUUGUCUCGUCGAUUCUCCUGUGUUCUGUUGUAGGUUCGUCGGCGGCUUUUAGCGUUGCAGACCCCUGGGUUUAAGCUCUUUAUCUGGCCGGUAAAUCGAGGCGAUCCAAGAGAGUCUAGAUCUCUUCUUCUCUGUCAGUGCGAGGCGUGGAGCAAUUGCCUUCUCGAGCGGUUCGGUGUUGAGUGUGGCAAAGGUGGAUCCGUUUUACUUUCGAAAGAAAGUUUGACUCUCAACUACUCUGCAGAUCUGUGACGCUAGAGGACGGCUGAAAGAGAUCAGAGGAAAGAAGUCUUGGAUCUACCGUCGCUGCUACGAGACGCGGAGGCUGCAGCGGAAGCGAGAAGGUAGUUCGGAGGGAAAGCGCUGUUUGUCGUAGGGGGUUAGUGCCUUUGUGGGGGUCGGUGAUUCGGCUUGUGCGACGGUGAGAGCUUAGUUGCUCGUUGUUUGCCGUCGUGACUCUUUCCUCCGCAGGCCGGAUCGAAGUUUAGUCUGUCGGUUUGAGUUUUACUCUUGGUUUAAUUUGAUUGUGAUUCCGGUUGAUUCCCGAUUUGGGUCGAAAAUAUUU